ACAGCGUGCUAGAUGAAGGCCUUCGGGUUGUAAAUAGCUGUUAUUAGGGAAGAAUAGCAUUAGUAGGAAAUGACUAGUGUCUGACGGUACCUAAUCAGAAAGCACCGGCAAAACAUGUGCCAGCAGCCGCGGUAAUAC
rnacentral:rRNA from 1 species